AUGCUGAGCUUUGUUGCUGGGGGAGAAGGAGCAAAGAGGAGAGGCUGCUCUGUGCCCAACUGGCAAACAGAGAUCAAAAAUAAUGCAAUUGUUGUUUGCCCUUCUCCAGUGAGCUUCACUGGAUGCAGCACUUAUCAACAACACUCCCAGCUGUCUUUGAAAUCAGAUUGUAACUGCAGCCAGGUGACAGUCCAAGUUUUCUUCUUGAUCAGAUCAUUCAUGAUGUUUGAGAAAUCCUCCAGCACUUCUCCACAGUCACUGCCCAACAGCACAUCCUCCCAUCAGCUCAGCAGUGUAAACCAGCCAAGAGCACAUUAAACAUUUGAUUGGAUUCAGCUGGAUCUUUCUGCAUUGUGGGAAGAGCAGACAAGCAUUUGAGUGGAGUUUCUGGGUGUUGGUCUGGACAUCCGUAUCAAUCCCUUGCCAGAAAGAGAAAAAGCAGCAUCACAUUUUUCAUAGUGCUUUCCUUUAAUGACAUUUCCUUCCUUCCAUUAAGCAAAUGUCCAGGGGAGAUAAAUGAAUUGCUUUGUAUAUCUAGAGGAUCUUUGAAACCCUUGAUCUAGCCUAAGUGUGCAAGAAUGAGAAAAAUAACAGGGAGCUGAAUGGAGGAAGGAGAUUUAAACACAAAUUCUCAGAUAGAAAAAAUAAUGAAGAGCUAGAAAAUGGAGGCAUGGCCCAAGAAAAUAAGUCAGAGAUAGGGAUACUCCAAAAUAACACAGCUGCUAGAGGAGAAAAAAACCAACACAAAAGGACCUCAUGCAGAAAAGGAGAGUUGAUGUUCGGCAAUGCUCAGAAAUUUUAAUACUGAUGUGUAAAAUUAAACCAUGACAGCAGAACAGGCUUAUCUGCAAGCGUCACGUUACUUCCCCUGGGAUCACUACCUUCCCACUGGUGCUUCUGUCAUCUUCUCCUCCCCCUCCAAAUCUCACUUGACCUGAAUUCUCAUGAUUUGACUCCAUAAUCCUCUGGUUUCCAAUGUAUGCACACAAAAGAUUAUUGUACAAAAGCGAAUUCCCAGGGCCUUGGGCUUUGCUUUCCAUUUAGUUAAAGAAUUAUCCUACAGUAGUUUAGAUGCUGGGAAACUUGUCCUGUAGAUUAUUGCCUACAGGGCAAAUGCUGAGGAGGUUGCUAACGAGAGAACAGAUGUUCAGUGGCUUAUGAGCCUUGCUGAAUGUAAAUAUCUUCAGCACACUGCCUGUCAAUAAGCCUCUGCCUGAGAAUCACAAACCUUAUGGACAAAAUUCAGCCCCCUUGUAAAUGCAUGGGUUUAGGCAGAAUUACACUGAGGAAGAAGCUGUUCCUUCAUCUGCACCAGAGAGCCAGAGUUUAAAAGCUUGUAUAGACCUUGAGACUGAAUGUCAUGAAAAGUUAAUAUUUUUAAACAAAACAUCUCUUUCCAAGAGAAAAUGCAGCUCUUGGAUCUGUUAUGACACAGCAGGCCUAAAAUAAACAGAUUUCAGUGAAAAAUUGAUAUUAGGGGUGGAAGAUUUUGCAGUGACUGGAUUUCUACAAGUUUGCUUGUCUCCAUAAAAGGAUGUUCUGCUUACAGGGCUUCAGUAGGUGAUGUCUGUCCAGAGAGCAGUAACUUAAAGGGGGUGUGGGUACCUCUGGACCAUCACUGUGCAUCCCUGUGUACCCCUCUCUCUCCCCCUGCGACAUCUGUAAGACCUUAGACAGUCUCCUAGGCAAAAUGUGAAAAGAAUUUAAGCCCCCUCUUCAAUCUUCUGAACACCUGAAAACUUUCUGUUACCAAGGCAGUACUGCUUUCUGCCCUUCAUUGCCAGGUGAAUAACCUCAGAGUACAUACUCUCCAGUGAGGGCUGAGUAGCUUAUCACAAUCAGUUGUUGCUUCUGAGUGGCUUUUUCUUUAUGAGGUUUCCUGACAGAAGACCAAGAUAUGCAAGGAGGACACUUGCCCUCAAGCUUCACCCCUUCCAUCCUUCCUGGGACAAAAGCAGGCUGACCUUGCUCUGUGCCUCAUCUUUGCCAUGGCAAAGCUCAGUUGUACCUACAUUUCUGGAAAGCCCGAGCUCUUGCUGGCCACAGAUUGUCACUCACUGUUGAAGUGUAGUAACUGCACUCUGUCAUGAAGUUGCUUGGUACAAUUUUCAGGAUCCACUAAGGAGUCCUUAGAGCUGAGAGUGCCACAUCUCUGCCUUGGCCAAGUGGUGCUCAGAGUUCCCAGUUUUGGCAUGAGAAGGGAAGGCAGUAAGCAGGGUCUCUCCUCUAUCAUUGAAUCCAUGAAACCAUGAGGGGGCUGGUUUUCUCUGGGAGCCCUCUGUUACAAGAGCAUAACCACAGUCUGAAAAAUAAACAAACUCCACCAUGCACGACAUUUAACUGAAAAGACUGGCUGGCAAGCUGAAACUUGGGAGACCUGGGUCAGCUACUGAACUGUUUUAUGAUGUGGAACAAGUCACUGUGCUGUCACUGUCCCAAUCAGAUUGCCAGCUCUGCACAGACAAGCCUUGGG
ensembl:lncRNA